rnacentral:rRNA from 1 species
GUGCCAGCCGCCGCGGUAAUACCGGCAGCUCAAGUGAUGUCCCAUAUUAUUGGGCCUAAAGCGUCCGUAGCUGGCCGCGCAAGUCCGUCGGGAAAUCCAUCAGCCCAACUGAUGGGCGUCCGGCGGAAACUGCACGGCUUGGGACCGGAAGGCUCGAGAGGUACGUCCGGGGUAGGAGUGAAAUCCCGUAAUCCCGAACGGACCACCGAUGGCGAAAGCAUCUCGAGAAAACGGAUCCGACAGUGAGGGACGAAAGCCAGGGUCUCCAACCGGAUUAGAAACCCUAGUAGUCC